AAAGAACAGUGUUACUAGUCUAAUAGUUUGUGAUGUUGCCCUUCACUACAAUAUAACAGGGCUCAACUCUAACUUUCCACCUUACAAACCAGAUCGAUAAAACUGACCGUUUCAGUAAUUGCUACAUAGCUUGACUAUCUUUUCAUUUCUUUAUGCCGCAUUUAAGCUUUAGUUGAUCCAUUUUUAUCAACUUCUUUUGCACUAAUACAAUUUUUGAUCCCAUUCUUCCCCGUUACUUUUGUUCUUUCGUGUGUGCGUCGUGUAUUUUUCCUUUAUUAUCAACUUACUCACGUUUUUUGUUUCCUAAAAGAAGAGGAACAGUGAUUGUAAAGGACAGUAACAAAUCCGACUGGUUGUACGUCAUUGUCUCGGGAGUAUACCAGGUUCUUCUGAGACUUGAAAUAUCUAAACCAAAGUUGUGCGGAAAAAAGCACUAUCGAUACAGCGAAGAUGUAACCGCAGCAGAAAAAUUGGCGCAUUUAACAGACGAACGUCACAGGAAAACCAAUUACUCCGCUUCCAGAUUAAAACGGAUGCCAAGGAACAUGAACAAAUUAGCUUACUCACGAUACCACGUGGAAGAACGUCGCACAAAAUCCCUUCCACCUGUGUUCCCCGUCACUGAAGUUCUGUCCACCAAUCACAAUUAACUAAGAAAACAAACAGCUUUUGUGCAGUUGGGUCUCGUUCAUCCCAAGAGUGUAUUUGCGCUCGACGAGCCCACCUACUUCUUCAUGUGCGAAAUUUACCUCGAUAGUCAUAGACGAUAAUAAUCGCGUCGGGAAAGUACUUCGGUGGAUGGCUUAGUUCACGCAGUCUGACCUCUUAUUUUGUGGUGCAUAACCCUGUGGUUUCGCCACCUGAACUUGAAAAAGGAAAGACAGAUAGAUAGAUAGUUUUAUUAGGAAGUAAAAUCAUUGCAGCUCCCGGGCCGGCUGAAAUACGACUU
rnacentral:lncRNA from 1 species